CCAGGACUCCGCUGGUCCCCUCUCGGUUGUGCCGCACAGCUACCGACCUCUGCCCGUGGUCCGUGCGGUCCCUCACCUUCCCGGUGGGAACGAAGGCUGGACGCCUAGGCACCGACUGGCGCCGCUGACACCCAAGCGUCAUCCACUUCCCCUCGAAGGGGACGGGUCUUUCCCGCCACCCCCGCCUCUGUGGAGAUAAAGAUGCAGCAGUCCCAAGCCCGCUGCCUCAAAGAACGCCGUUGCCCUGGCAACUAGAAGCGCGAGGAUCUCGGUCUCGCGAUAGGUGUAAAGGGCUGUACCAUCAGAGAUGGGCACUGGGGACCGUAAACUACAAGGAAGACCGCUGAAGCGGUUGGACUCCGGAGCAAAGAUCCCGGUGUUUUCAUGGCUCUGACCAGCCACUAGGAUGUCCUACAGGCCAGCUGUCCUCUCAGAGCUCAGUUACUAUCCCCUUCUUGCAAGACUGAUGUGCCGCUCAGAGAUGUCGUAUGUGAAAGUCUUGUCAAGUUUGGAGAGCUGUGUGUAUGUGUGUGUAUUAGUUUUGUAAAAAACUGGGCUGAAGUAAAGUAAAAACGGGUUACAAUGGCUUUUUA